rnacentral:rRNA from 1 species
GGAGAUAGCUGGUUCUCUCCGAAAUAGCUUUAGGGCUAGCCUCGGAAUUGAGAAUGAUGGAGGUAGAGCACUGUUUGGACUAGGGGCCCAUCUCGGGUUACCGAAUUCAGAUAAACUCCGAAUGCCAUUCAUUCAUAUCCGGGAGUCAGACUGUGAGUGAUAAGAUCCAUAGUCGAAAGGGAAACAGCCCAGACCACCAGCUAAGGUCCCAAAAUAUAUGUUAAGUGGAAAAGGAUGUGGGGUUGCACAGACAACUAGG